CCUACGGGAGGCAGCAGUGAGGAAUAUUGGUCAAUGGACGAGAGUCUGAACCAGCCAAGUAGCGUGAAGGAAGAAGGCCCUAUGGGUGGUAAACUUCGUUUAUAAAGGAAUAAAACGAGGCACGUGUGCCUUUUUGCAUGUACCUUAUGAAUAAGGAUCGGCUAACUCCGUGCCAGCAGCCGCGGUAAUACGGAGGAUCCGAGCGUUAUCCGGAUUUAUUGGGUUUAAAGGGUGCGUAGAUGGGUUGUUAAGUCAGUUGUGAAAGUUUGCGGCUCAACCGUAAAAUUGCAAUUGAUACUGGCAGUCUGGAGUGCAGUUGAGGUAGGCGGAAUUCGUGGUGUAGCGGUGAAAUGCUUAGAUAUCACGCAGAACCCCGAUUGCGAAGGCAGCUUACUAAACUGUAACUGACAUUGAUGCUCGAAAGUGUGGGUAUCAAACAGGAUUAGAUACCCGAGUAGUC
rnacentral:rRNA from 1 species